rnacentral:rRNA from 1 species
CUACGGAGGGUGCAAGCGUUACUCGGAAUCACUGGGCGUAAAGCGUACGUAGGCGGACUGAUCAGUUGGGGGUGAAAUCCCAGGGCUUAACCCUGGAACUGCCUUCAAUACUGUCAGUCUUGAGUUUGGGAGAGGUGAGUGGAAUUCCUAGUGUAGAGGUGAAAUUCAUAGAUAUUAGGAGGAACACCAGUGGCGAAGGCGGCUCACUGGCCCAUUACUGACGCUGAGGUACGAAAGCGUGGGGAGCAAACAGGAUUAGAAACCCCAGUAGUCC